UACGUAGGGUGCAAGCGUUGUCCGGAAUUAUUGGGCGUAAAGAGCUCGUAGGCGGUUUGUCGCGUCUGCUGUGAAAACUCGGGGCUUAACUCCGGGCCUGCAGUGGGUACGGGCAAACUAGAGUGCGGUAGGGGAGACUGGAAUUCCUGGUGUAGCGGUGAAAUGCGCAGAUAUCAGGAGGAACACCGGUGGCGAAGGCGGGUCUCUGGGCCGUAACUGACGCUGAGGAGCGAAAGCGUGGGGAGCGAACAGG
rnacentral:rRNA from 1 species